AACCCUGCCUUGAGUUUGUCUCAGUUUCAGGUUCUCAGAUGUAGUCCCCAGUCCCCCUAAUCUUCUCUUUGUCACCUCAGACUACAGUCUUUGCUCUACCUGAUUCAGAGCUCUUUCAACACCUUGUCGGGCCCAGUGUAACAGAAUGUCUGGGCUUACUAAAUCCAGAGCCAGGUGGCAGAAAAAAAUCAGGACCCAGGGCCGCUGACACAGCGCAACACCUCAGAAUCCUGCUUGAGUAAGUCCUUCCGGAGACUCCACGGUUAACAUCUCCUGCCUCCUCCAUGGACACGAUACUCCCUGCCUCUAAUCCUGAGCUGCUCCAGUUGCAAGUCCAGCCCCAGCCUAGAGGUCGGCGCUCACCUCAGAUGAUCUCAGCCUUUCCUCAGUCACAGUUACAGGUUCCAGGUUUUUGGAUGCUCCGACCCUCAUCUCUGUCAAAUGUCUCAAACUCCGGCCUCAGUCUUCUGCUCUGAGGGGAUUUGCAUCACAGCCUCAGUUCCCCAUACCAUGGAUGCUUCAGCCUCUGUUCCAGAUCUCAGCUUGGAUGCCUCCUCAGCCUCAGAAUACAGGUCAGUGACUGUCUCUUCUGCCGAAACCUUCAAGAGGGCAUCAACCAAGAUUGCUGCCUCCAAACUCUUUCUAUGGGGCUCCAAACCAGUGUUUCAGACUCGGAAGAGCCCAUGCAAAUUGGGGAGAUGAAACUCUCAGUAGAAGAAAGGGAAAAAAGAUAUCGAGGUAAACUUUGUAUGUACUGUGGAAAGAAGGGCCAUUGGGAAAAGGACCUGCCCUGAGUUAUUGGGGAAACAGGCUCCGCUCAGUAAAGAAGGAGGGAAGGGGGGGAAGAGAAUUAAACGGUUGACUAAUUCAACAAUUCACAUAGAAAUUUGCUGCUUAUAUUGAUUUCAGAUAAUUUGGUCUCAUGUUGACUAUACCUUUUUGUUUUUUUUGAGAUGUAAUAUACUCCAGAGGAUGUGUGUCAAGUUUCAAUCUGCCAUCUUCCAUUUGUAUGUAACAACAAGGUUGAUAUGAUGUCUGUUCUGGAUUCAUCUGUUGCUCUUUAAGAUUUACUUUUAAAGAAAAACAAGAUUGAGACAAAAGUAAUAAAAUACGUGUCUCAGCAUCAUU